rnacentral:rRNA from 1 species
AUUGAACGCUGGCGGCAUGCCUAACACAUGCAAGUCGAACGGUAACAGGAAACAGUUUGCUGUUUCGCUGACGAGUAGCGGACGGGUGAGUCAUGUCUGUGAAACUCCCUGCUGGAGGGGGAUAUCUACUGAAAACGGUAGCUAAUACCGCAUAACUUCUCCAGCCCAAAGAGGGGUAGCUUCUGGCCUCUUUCCUUCGUAUGUUCCCAGCUGGGCUUAGUUAGUAGGUGGGGUAACCUCUCACCUAGGCGACGAUCCGUAGCUGAUGUGAGAGGUUGAUAGGCCACCUGGGAACGGAGACACGGACAAGAGGACUAAGGGAGGCAGCAGUGGGGAAUAUUACGCAAUGGGCGCAAGCCUGAUGCAGCCAGGCCGCGUGUAUGAAGAAGGCCUUCGGGGUGUAAAGAACUUUCAGCGGGGAGGAAGGGAGUAAAGUUGAGACGUAUACUGAUUGACGUUACCGGCAAAAGAAGCACCGGCUAACUACGUG